rnacentral:tRNA from 2 species
UGGUGCGUAGCUCACCCGGAGAGCAACCGGUUCCUGACCGGCGAGUCGCAGGUUCGACCCCUGCCGCAUCAA